CAGAAACUCGAUCGAUAGUCGAACACGCCUGGAACGGCGGGCCGGAGAGGGUGACAGCCCCGUAGACGAAAUCGAUCGAACUCCGUCACCGACCACCUGAGUACCACGUGGAAGGGCUCUCAUGUGGGAAACUGGGCGGACCACCGUCCAAGGCUAAAUACUCUUGGCGACCGAUAGUGAACGAGUACCGUGAGGGAAAGGUGAAAAGCACCCCGGAAGGAGAGUGAAAUAGUACCUGAAACCGCGUGCCUACAAGCAGUCAGAGGGUGUUGCCGGCCGUUGGGCCGGUAGCCUGAUGGCGUGCCUUUUGAAGAAUGAGCCGACGAGUUACGUGUGCGUGGCGAGGUUAAGUCCGAGAAGGACGGAGCCGGAGCGAAAGCGAGUCUGAACAGGGCGUCCAGUCGCGCGCAGUAGACCCGAAACCGGGUGACCUAUCCAUGGGCAGGUUGAAGCGGGAGUAAUGUCCCGUGGAGGACCGAACCCACCAGCGUUGAAAAGCUGGGGGAUGACCUGUGGAUAGCGGUGAAAUGCCAAUCGAACCCGGAGAUAGCUGGUUCUCCCCGAAAUAGCUUUAGGGCUAGCCUCGAGCGUUCGAUCGCGGGGGUAGAGCACUGGAUGGGCUAGGGGGCUUCCCGCUUACCAACCCCAACCAAACUCCGAAUCCCGCGACCCCAGAGCUCGGGAGUCAGACUGCGAGGGCUAAGCUUCGUGGUCAAAAGGAAAACAGUCCGGACCGUCAGCUAAGGUCCCUAAAUCCAGGCUAAGUGGGAAAGGAUGUGGAUCCGCCCAGACAACCAGGAUGUUGGCUCAGAAGCAGCCAUCAUUGAAAGAGUGCGUAACAGCUCACUGGUCAAGUGGAUCCGCGCCGAAAAUUCAACGGGGCUCAAGCCUGGUACCGAAGCUACGGACCUGGUGGCCGGUUCGCCGGCCGCCGGGUGGUAGGGGAGCGUUCCGUCCGCAGAGAAGGUCGACCGUGAGGACGGCUGGAGCGAACGGAAGUGCGAAUGUCGGCAUGAGUAGCGAGAUGUGGGUGAGAAUCCCACACGCCGGAAGCCUAAGGUUUCCUGAGGAAGGCUCGUCCACUCAGGGUUAGUCGGGCCUAAGCCGAGGACGAACGUCGUAGGCGAUGGACAUCCGGUUGAUAUUCCGGAACCGACCGCAGAUCGUUUGCACCGCAAGGUGCCGCCUGGAGGUAGGCGGACGGAGGUUGGCCGGCGCAAGCCGGUCGAGUCCGCGAGCUGAGCCCAGGUGAGAGCAAGGGCAUGACACAGCGUGGUAGCUCGAGCGCGUUUUGGCUAUACGCGUCCAAGCCGGUAGGGGGAGCAGACAGGCAAAUCCGUCCGCUCAUCCAACCCCGAGCAGCGAUGGCGAAGGACCUAGUCCGAAGUCGGGUGAGCCAUGCCGGCGAGAAAAGUGUCUAGCGAGAUCAAGGGUGUCCGUACCGCAAUCCGACACAGGUAGGCGGGUAGAGCAUACCAAGGGGGCCGGGAGAAGCCUCGGUAAGGAAACCGGCAAAAUGGCCCCGUAACUUCGGGAGAAGGGGCGCCCCAGUAGGGUCUAAGCCUUCGCGGCUGAAGCCCGAGGGGGCCGCAGUGGAUUGGCCCAACCGACUGUUUACCAAAAACACAGGUCUCUGCUAAGUCGCAAGACGACGUAUAGGGGCUGACGCCUGCCCGGUGCCGGAAGGUCACGAGGAGAGGUUAGCCUUCGGGCGAAGCCUUGAAUCCAAGCCCCGGUAAACGGCGGCGGUAACUAUAACCGUCCUAAGGUAGCGAAAUUCCUUGUCGGGUAAGUUCCGACCUGCACGAAUGGCGUAACGACUUGGGCGCUGUCUCAACGAGGGAUCCGGUGAAAUUGUAGUCUCGGUGAAGAUGCCGAGUACCCGUGGUUGGACGGAAAGACCCCGUGAACCUUUACUACAGCUUGACGUUGGAGUCUGGGAUUUGUUGUCCAGGAUAGGUGGGAGGCUGUGAAGCGGGGACGCCAGUCCUCGUGGAGCCAACCUUGGGAUACCACCCUUCGUGUUCUGGGCUUCUAACCCGCUGCCGUGAUCCGGGGCGGGAACAGCGUCAGGUGGGUAGUUUGACUGGGGCGGUCGCCUCCCAAAGUGUAACGGAGGCGCGCGAAGGUUCCCUCAGCACGGUUGGAAAUCGUGCGUAGAGUGCAAAGGCAUAAGGGAGCUUGACUGCGAGACAGACAUGUCGAGCAGGCGCGAAAGCGGGCCUUAGUGAUCCGGCGGUAACUAGUGGACGUGCCGUCGCUCAACGGAUAAAAGGUACUCCGGGGAUAACAGGCUUAUCCUUCCCAAGAGUCCACAUCGACGGAAGGGUUUGGCACCUCGAUGUCGGCUCGUCGCAUCCUGGGGCUGAAGCAGGUCCCAAGGGUUGGGCUGUUCGCCCAUUAAAGCGGUACGCGAGCUGGGUUCAGAACGUCGUGAGACAGUUCGGUCCCUAUCUGGUGUGGGCGUAGGAAAUUUGAGGGGGGCUGUCCCUAGUACGAGAGGACCGGGAUGGACAAACCUCUUGUGUCCCAGUUGUCGCGCCAUCGGCAUGGCUGGGUAGCGAAGUUUGGCAGCGUUAACCGCUUCCAGCAUCUAAGCGGGAAGCGCGCCCCUAGAUAAGAUUUCCCAAGGAUGAAAGGUGAGACAGCUACUCACAGUGAAUCC
rnacentral:rRNA from 1 species